ACCUUGGAUAGCUCAGUUGGUUGAGUAUGAGACUUUUAAUCUCAAGGUCAUGGGUUUGAGCCCCAUGUUGGGCA